GAGAAGAAAUUAAGAGUGAAUCCAAAGUCACAGCCAACUCUGAGAGAAAUUAAACUGUAUCAAACACAAUAUUCUAAAUUGAUAAAUCAGGAAAUUGAAUGGAAGAUUAAAUUAAUGAAACAAAAAACGUUUGAGUCGGCGAAUAAAUGUGGAAAACUGCUAUCUUGGCAGUUGAAGAGAAGACAAAGAUUAAAUACGGUUACAAAUUUAGAGGUCGAUGGAAGAAACAUUCAGAAUCCAGUGGACAUUAGAAAGUGUUUCCAGAGAUAUUUUAAAAACUAUAUACCCAAGGGCCGCAAGACGAAGUCGAGAUUAAACAAUUUUUGGCAAAAAUGGAUUAUCUAAACUGUCACAAGAAAAUAGGACAAUCCUGAACUCUAAAAUAACACGACAGGAGAUUGAACAAGCUAUUCAGAACAUGCAACUUGGCAAAUCUCCAGGGCCAGACGGGCUGACCUCCAAGUAUUAUAAGACACUAAAAGACUAUUUGAUACAACCCUUGAUGGAGGUUAGCAAUGAAAUUAUGGAGGGGAAGAGGGCACCGGAUUCGUGGAAGGAAGCGUUUAUCACAUUGAUACCAAAGUCAGAAGCUGAAAAGACACAACUGAAGAACUACCGUCCCAUCUCCCUUUUAAAUGUGGAUUACAAAAUAUUUGCAGAUAUUUUGGCAAGUAGAUUUAAAAAGUUUUAAAUGAAGUAAUUCAUAAGGACCAGGCCGGUUUUCUCCCAGGUAGACAUCUGUUUGCUAACACAAGGAACAUUAUUGAUAUCUUGGAACUUCUCCAAACUGACAUAAAUACAAAAGCAGUUUUAAUUUUUAUAGAUGCGGAGAAGGCCUUUGAUAAUAUUUCUUGGAAAUUUAUGAUGGGAAACUUAAAAGAGAUGGGAGUGGGACGGGGUUUUGAGAAUGGGAUUGAGGCGAUAUAUUCAGAACAGAAAGCUAAACUGAUAGUGAACAAUGUGGUUACAGAAGAGUUCAAAAUUGAAAAAGGGACACGACAAGGCUGCCCUAUUUCCCCUUUGUUAUUUAUUUCGGUUCUGGAAGUGCUAUUGAACAUGAUUAGAGGGGACCAGUUGGUGGAAGGAAUUCAGGUUGGUCAGAAACAAUAUAAACUAAAAGCUUUUGCAGAUGACCUGGUUUUGACCUUGCAGAAGCCAGAGCCUAGUACGAAAAGAGUAUUACAAUUGAUUAAUGAUUUUGGUCGGGUGGCGGGAUUUAAAUUAAAUAAACAGAAAACCAAGGUUUUGGGAAAAAACUUGACUGAGACAGAGUCAGAACGGUUUCAGAAUGAGACGGAACUUAAUGUGGUUAAAAAAGUAAAAUACCUAGGGGUAAACAUAACAGCAAAAAAUCUAAGUCUAUUUAAGGAUAACUAUGAAAAAUGUUGGACAGAAAUUAAGAGAGACUUAGACAGUUGGUCAAAAUUGAAACUUUCUUUGUUAGGCCGAAUUGCUGCGAUUAAGAUGAAUGUAUUGCCAAGAAUGUUGUUUUUAUUUCAAACACUUCAGGUUUUGGACAAAAUGGAGUGCUUUCAGAAGUGGCAGAGAGACAUUUCGAAGUUUGUCUGGCAGGGCAAAAAGCCCAGAAUUAAGUUUAAGAUACUAACUGAUGCAAAACAAAGAGGGGCUUUGCCCUGCCGGACUUAAAGUUGUAUUACGAAGCCGCAGCGUUCUGCUGGCUAAAAGAUUGGCUACUUCUUGAAGACACUGAUGUGUUAGAUUUGGAAGGGUUUAACAAUGUUUUUGGAUGGCAUGCAUAUUUAUGGUAUGACAAAGUUAAAGCAAAUAAGGCCUUUAAGAACCAUAUUGUUAGAAAAUCACUGUUUAAUGUCUGGACAAAAUAUAAAGACUUGCUGGAAAAUAAAACACCAAGGUGGCUUUCACCUUUGGAAGCUAAGGCCCGAAAAAGACCCAAUAUGGAGGCCAAAUGGCCAAAAUAUUGGGAAAUACUAGAAAAAGAUGGAGACAAUUGGAAAUUGCAGAGUUUGGAGAAAAUGAAAGACAAAGUGCGAGAUUGGUUACAUUAUGCUCAGAUUAAAGAAGUUUUUAAAAAUGACAAGAAACUAGGGUUCCAGGUGGAGAAAUCGAAACUAGAAACAGAAUUGUUAGAACCAAAGACUAAGAUACUUUCAAGGAUGUAUAACUUGCUGUUGGAAUGGAAUACACAAGAUGAAAUGGUUAAAUCGGCUAUGAUAAGGUGGGCACAGGAUAUUGGGCAUAAUAUUAUGUUUGAGGACUGGGAAAGGCUGUGGAGUAAUGGAUUGAAAUUUACUGCAUGUAAUGCUUUGAAAGAAAAUGUAAUGAAAAUGAUUUAUAGAUGGUAUAUGACCCCAGUCAAACUUGCAAAAAUUUACCACCUGUCUGAUAACAAGUGUUGGAAAUGUAAAGAGUGUGAAGGAACGUUCUUUCACCUCUGGUGGACCUGCCCUAAAGUGAAGGCGUUCUGGGAAAUGAUUUAUAAUGAAUUGAAAAAGGUAUUUAAAUAUACUUUCACUAAGAAACCAGAGGCUUUCCUUUUGGGUAUUGUCAGCCAAGGGGUGGCAAAGAAGGACCAAACAUUUUUAUGUAUGCAACAACAGCAGCAAGGAUACUACUCGCAAAACAUUGGAAAACUCAAGAUCUACCCACACUGGAAGAAUGGCAGAUGCAACUGAUAGACUAUAUGCAACUGGCUGAAAUGACUGGCAGAAUCCGUGACCUGGGAGAAGAGAGAAUCGAGGAGGAUUGGAAGAAAUUUAAGAACUACCUACAAAAACAUUGUGAUUUGACUGAAUGCUGAAUAAGAUGCUUGACUAAAUAACUGAGCACCACUUAACCUAGAAGUUUUUAAGAAAAUAAGAAAAACUGUGAAAGUUUAACUCUUUAUGAGAACUAUAAGAUCAUGAAAUAUCGAAGAGAUAUAAGAAUUUAAAUAAGAUGAUAAAUUGCUGACAAAAUGUUAUAAUGAUGAAGGUGGGAGCGGGAGAUGUGAGGAAGUCCAAAGAAAAUGUGAAAUUAUGUUAAGACGAAUGUUAUAUUGUUUAUUACAUUUAUUCCUAUUGUAAAAUCCAAUAAAUUGCUUU
rnacentral:lncRNA from 1 species